rnacentral:tRNA from 1 species
GAGGGCAUAGCUCAAAUGGUAGAGCAUUUACUUAGCAAAUGUGAGUUCCUGAGUUCAAUUUUCAGUACUGUCA